CUCAGCUGAAGUAUCCCACGCUGCCCAGAGAGGAGCAAGGCGACUGAGGCUAGGUGUGGGAUGGCGAGGGCCAGCUGGCCAGCCGGGGCUGCUGAGGGAUUUGGAGUGGCGACAACGGGCAGCCACUGCCAGGCACCGCGUGGACAUGCCAGCUGUUGCCCGACACCUGCUAUCACGCCACAGAGAUGGGCGGACCAGAAACCCAGUGUCAUCACUCGGGUCUGUAACUGCCAUUUUCCGCUGGGAAAGAGAAAUGAACCUGUACUUACCAGAAAAGGUAGCUCAUCCACCAUGGCAGAAGAGGCAGACCCAGACUGUUGAUUCGAAAACAAUAACAAAACAUUUGGCAUGAGGAUUGGGUGUUGAGGGACCACUUGUCACAUUGUCCAAGUCCAACAGGAGUGCAUCCCUAAGGCCAUCCAGCGCAUGGACAUCCUGUGUCAGUGUGAUCCGACUGCGAGCGUCCAGUUGUGGAGACUACAGCACAUCGAGCCUGCGGACGGACAGAACGUCAGGCUCACCUCACAAGAAGCAGUGCAUGAUCAACGCCACCCUCAGCGAGGAGAUCUGCUGGAAGUGAUGUACUCUCUCGCUCUCUCUCUCUUAUCGGGGUAAGACAUAACUUAAACAUCACAGGUAUAAAUUCCCACUGUGCCCAUGAUAAAAUGCAAUGUAAACUGUGUUGUACUACUGAAUGAAACUGUGAGGAGAUGCAUUCAGACCAGCCUGUGAUUGAACUAACGUUGGAUAUAUUACUUUAGUUGGCUGCUUUGAGCAAGACUUGAAUGUAAUAUAACAUUUUCUAGGAGCCUAUUGUUUGUGUAUGAUCUUUAUUCAGUGUUUACUUGUUUUUAAACAAUGUCAGGUAGAGGCAGGGAUGACUAGUGUCUUCAGUAUACAUUUUUUAGACAGGUUAAAUGUUAUAUCAUAUUGUAUCAUAGCCAACAUACAAUUGAAUAUAGCGUAGGGUCAGACACUCUUUUGAGUAUUAUUUUGUUCCACUCACCUCUCUUUCUAAUCUGAAUUAACAAUACUCACCAUUUACAUUUUUUACUGCCUUUAAAUGAGUCAGUUGAGACAGUGUUUCAAGAAGCUAACGUUUGGCUGCAAAUGUGAAUACAUGUCCAAUAAAUAGUAAUAUAUAAUAAUAUGUAAUAUAUUUACAAUUGCUCCAUACUAUGUGAUAAUGCCAAUGUCACAUAUAAAUAUCUAUGAGUCCAUUGAUUAUCAUUGUCUCAACUUGUUCCUUUUCCUUAAUUCAUCAUAUCUUAAAUUACUUAACUUUUGGCCUUAAUUUUUUCUAUGCAAUUUUUAUGAAAUGUGACAUAUUCUUGACAUUAACUAUAUUCUACACCUUUUCUUAUUGUUACAGAUCGUGGUGAAGGAUUUGCACCCUGUGAUGUGAUCGCAUGCACACUGUGUAGUAUGUAUCUUGUACAGCUUUAUGCAACCAUAAAGUUGCUCUGCUGUACCAGGUGGCACAUUAUUCACAGCUCAAAAACCCAGUGGUCCCCCCAGUCCUUAGCUGCACCGAGAGCGAGCAGUGUUGGCACAAGCCAAGAACUACGCUAAGUCUGAGAACACUCUACAAAGGCCUCCAAGGGGAACUGCCUAACCUGUCUGUCCUGAAUGCGUCCGAGGGUUUUUCUUUAUUUUUACUGAGAUGGUUUGGGAUGAGUCGAACCGAAGUGUGAAGGAAAAGCAGUCAACAAGUGUUCUGCAUAUGUUGGAACUUCUUCAAGACUGGUGGAAAAGCAUUCCUCGUGAAGCUGGUUGAGAGAAUGCCAAGAUUGUGCAAAGCUGUCAUCAAGGCAAAGGGUGGCUACUGUGAAGAAUCUCAAAUAUAAAAUAUAAAAGUUGAACACUUGUUUUGGUUACU
rnacentral:lncRNA from 1 species